AGUCUUUAUGAAUCUGAAUCUGAUUCAGACAGUGACAAACGGGCAACUUCUUCCACCAGAUCAUAUUUCCAUCCGUGGAUGGAUGAUAAUCUGAGUUCCAGUGGUGAANNNNNAAAAUUUGCUGGAUGGCUUCCAAAGAUCCAAAAAUAUAGCUCAAACUUUCACAUACAAAAGUUUGCUGGAGAAUUUAUCCAAAUUAGACCGAG
rnacentral:misc_RNA from 1 species